UUGCGAUGGGUAUAUAAGGGGAAACCGUUCGUGGUUUCCCCUCACUUGAUCGAAAAUUCAAAAAAUUUGCCGUUUGAGAGAGAAACUGUUCUGUCUUCUCCGACGAUUUUUUCUGAAAUUCCGGUGAGGUUUGUAGUGUUUCUGUUCAUCAUCUUCUGUUUCUUGGAUAUUUUUGAUGGCUGAACCAUCUAAUCCACACAAUGUGGAGGGUAGGUUGCCGGCGGUGGUUUGCCGGUGUUGA
rnacentral:lncRNA from 1 species